rnacentral:rRNA from 1 species
GAGUUUGAUCAUGGCUCAGAUUGAACGCUGGCGGCAUGCCUUACACAUGCAAGUCGAACGGCAGCACGGAGCUUGCUCUGGUAGCGAGUGGCGAACGGGUGAGUAAUAUAUCGGAACGUACCCUAGAGUGGGGGAUAACGUAGCGAAAGUUACGCUAAUACCGCAUACGAUCUAAGGAUGAAAGUGGGGGAUCGCAAGACCUCAUGCUCGUGGAGCGGCCGAUAUCUGAUUAGCUAGUUGGUAGGGUAAAAGCCUACCAAGGCAUCGAUCAGUAGCUGGUCUGAGAGGACGACCAGCCACACUGGAACUGAGACACGGUCCAGACUCCUACGGGAGGCAGCAGUGGGGAAUUUUGGACAAUGGGCGAAAGCCUGAUCCAGCAAUGCCGCGUGAGUGAAGAAGGCCUUCGGGUUGUAAAGCUCUUUUGUCAGGGAAGAAACGGUGAGAGCUAAUAUCUUUUGCUAAUGACGGUACCUGAAGAAUAAGCACCGGCUAACUACGUGCCAGCAGCCGCGGUAAUAUGUAGGGUGCAAGCGUUAAUCGGAAUUACUGGGCGUAAAGCGUGCGCAGGCGGUUUUGUAAGUCUGAUGUGAAAUCCCCGGGCUCAACCUGGGAAUUGCAUUGGAGACUGCAAGGCUAGAAUCUGGCAGAGGGGGGUAGAAUUCCACGUGUAGCAGUGAAAUGCGUAGAUAUGUGGAGGAACACCGAUGGCGAAGGCAGCCCCCUGGGUCAAGAUUGACGCUCAUGCACGAAAGCGUGGGGAGCAAACAGGAUUAGAUACCCUGGUAGUCCACGCCCUAAACGAUGUCUACUAGUUGUCGGGUCUUAAUUGACUUGGUAACGCAGCUAAC